GGAAUAUUGGACAAUGGGCGAAAGCCUGAUCCAGCCAUGCCGCGUGCGGGAAGAAGGCCUUCGGGUUGUAAACCGCUUUUGUCAGGGAAGAAACGGUCUGGGUUAAUACCUCGGACUAAUUACGGUACCUGAAGAAUAAGCACCGGCUAACUACGUGCCAGCCGCCGCGGUCAUACGUAGGGUGCAAGCGUUAAUCGGAAUUACUGGGCGUAAAGCGGGCGCAGGCGGCUUUGCAAGACAGAUGUGAAAUCCCCGGGCUCAACCUGAGAACUGCAUUUGUGACUGCAUCGCUAGAGUGCGGCAGAGGGGGAUGGAAUUCCGCGUGUAGCAGUGAAAUGCGUAGAUAUGCGGAGGAACACCGAUGGCGAAGGCAAUCCCCUGGGCCUGCACUGACGCUCAGGCACGAAAGCGUGGGGAGCAAAC
rnacentral:rRNA from 1 species